rnacentral:rRNA from 1 species
GACGAACGCUGGCGGCGUGCUUAACACAUGCAAGUCGUACGGUAAGGCCCUUUCGGGGGUACACGAGUGGCGAACGGGUGAGUAACACGUGAGUAACCUGCCCACAACUUUGGGAUAACGCUAGGAAACUGGUGCUAAUACUGGAUAUGUGCUCCUGCUGCAUGGUGGGGGUUGGAAAGCUCCGGCGGUUGUGGAUGGACUCGCGGCCUAUCAGCUUGUUGGUGGGGUAGUGGCCUACCAAGGCGGCGACGGGUAGCCGGCCUGAGAGGGUGACCGGCCACAUUGGGACUGAGAUACGGCCCAGACUCCUACGGGAGGCAGCAGUGGGGAAUAUUGCGCAAUGGGCGCAAGCCUGAUGCAGCAACGCCGCGUGCGGGAUGACGGCCUUCGGGUUGUAAACCGCUUUCAGCAGGGACGAAGCUUUUUGUGACGGUACCUGCAGAAGAAGCACCGGCUAACUACGUG